AAGAUGUCGACGCUGGUCCUGCACAAUCUGCGGAGGACCCUGCGAGCUUGCAAUCUGAUGCACCCCAAGAGACAACCAUAGCAGCCCAGACUUCGGCGGCAGCCCAGGAGCCAACCACCAAGCAAAGAAAAAAUCUGGAAUCCGUGAUAGAGAAAGGUAGAUCGGACAUAAAAGAUGUCAUUGCAAGAGAAAAAAAAAAGGUGGAGGAAAGAAUUCAAAAGGCUAAAGAUGAUCUGAAGGAGAGGUUGGGUCCAAUCAGAUCUAUCAUUUGAGAAGCUGUAAAGAAUGGGAUCUGGGAACUUAACGCCUUAAUCAUGUGUACGGCUCAGAGCAAUUAAAUUGAAAGCAUUCAA